rnacentral:rRNA from 1 species
GCGAAGCGGCUGAAUUGAUUCUUCGGAUGAUUUUCAGUUGACUGAGCGGCGGACGGGUGAGUAACGCGUGGGUGACCUGCCCCAUACCGGGGGAUAACAGCUGGAAACGGCUGCUAAUACCGCAUAAGCGCACAGAGCUGCAUGGCUCGGUGUGAAAAACUCCGGUGGUAUGGGAUGGGCCCGCGUCUGAUUAGGCAGUUGGCGGGGUAACGGCCCACCAAACCGACGAUCAGUAGCCGGCCUGAGAGGGCGACCGGCCACAUUGGGACUGAGACACGGCCCAAACUCCUACGGGAGGCAGCAGUGGGGAAUAUUGCACAAUGGGGGAAACCCUGAUGCAGCGACGCCGCGUGAGCGAAGAAGUAUUUCGGUAUGUAAAGCUCUAUCAGCAGGGAAGAUAAUGACGGUACCUGACUAAGAAGCCCCGGCUAACUACGUGCCAGCAGCCGCGGUAAUACGUAGGGGGCAAGCGUUAUCCGGAUUUACUGGGUGUAAAGGGAGCGUAGACGGCAAGGCAAGUCUGAUGUGAAAACCCAGGGCUUAACCCUGGGACUGCAUUGGAAACUGUCUGGCUCGAGUGCCGGAGAGGUAAGCGGAAUUCCUAGUGUAGCGGUGAAAUGCGUAGAUAUUAGGAAGAACACCAGUGGCGAAGGCGGCUUACUGGGCG